UACGGAGGAUGCAAGCGUUAUCCGGAAUGAUUGGGCGUAAAGCGUCCGCAGGUGGCAAUGUAAGUCUGCUGUUAAAGAGUCUAGCUCAACUAGAUAAGAGCAGUGGAAACUACAUAGCUAGAGUACGUUCGGGGCAGAGGGAAUUCCUGGUGUAGCGGUGAAAUGCGUAGAGAUCAGGAAGAACACCGGUGGCGAAGGCGCUCUGCUAGGCCGUAACUGACACUGAGGGACGAAGGCUAGGGGAGCGAAUGGG
rnacentral:rRNA from 1 species